rnacentral:lncRNA from 1 species
GAGAACCUUUAAAGAAUUAUAAAGAAAUAACAUAGAAAUUUUAAAAUAUAUUAAAAUAGAAAUCUUAAUAGAAUAUUAAAAUAAAAAACUUAAUUAAAUCCUAGUCAAAAUCUAAUCAAAUUCUAAUCAAAUUCUUGUCAAAUCCUAAAUAAAUCCUAAAUAAAUCCUAGUCAAUUUGUAAAAAAAUCCUAAUCAAAUCCAAGUCAAAUAUUAAAAAAACUCUAACCAAAUCCUAAACAUAUCCUAAAUAAAUUCUAAAUAAAUCUUAAUCAAAUCCUAAAUUAAUCUUAGUCAAAUCUUAAAUAAAUCUUAAUUUUAUCCUAAUCAAAACCUAAAUAAAUCCUAAUAAAAUCCAAAAAAAAUCCUAACUAAAUCCUAUUCAAAUCUUAAACAAACCUUAACCAAAUCCUAGUCAAAUUCUAAUUAAAUCCUAACCAUAUUCUAAUCAAAUCCUAAACAAAUCCAAAUCAAAUCUUAAAUAAAUCCUAAUAAAAUCCUAAAAAAAUCCUAACCAAAUUCUAAUCAAACCUUAAACAAACAUUAACCAAAUCCAAAUCAAACAUUAAACAUAUCCUAAUCAAAACCUAAUCAAAUACUAAAUAUAUCUUAAC